rnacentral:lncRNA from 1 species
UGGGAUUUUUCUCUUCAUUAUUUAUCCUGGAGCAUUUGUUGAUCUGUUCACCACUCAUUUGCAACUUAUAUCGCCAGUCCAGCAGCUAAGGAUAUUUUGUGCAGCAUGGCCUCCAACGAAGAUUUCUCCAUCACACAAGACCUGGAGAUCCCGGCAGAUAUUGUGGAGCUCCACGACAUCAAUGUGGAGCCCCUUCCUAUGGAGGACAUUCCGACGGAAAGCGUCCAGUACG